rnacentral:rRNA from 1 species
AGUGAACGCUGGCGGUAGGCCUAACACAUGCAAGUCGAACGGCAGCACAGUAAGAGCUUGCUCUUACGGGUGGCGAGUGGCGGACGGGUGAGGAAUACAUCGGAAUCUACUUUUUCGUGGGGGAUAACGUAGGGAAACUUACGCUAAUACCGCAUACGACCUACGGGUGAAAGCAGGGGAUCUUCGGACCUUGCGCAAUUGAAUGAGCCGAUGUCGGAUUAGCUAGUUGGCGGGGUAAAGGCCCACCAAGGCGACGAUCCGUAGCUGGUCUGAGAGGAUGAUCAGCCACACUGGAACUGAGACACGGUCCAGACUCCUACGGGAGGCAGCAGUGGGGAAUAUUGGACAAUGGGCGCAAGCCUGAUCCAGCCAUACCGCGUGGGUGAAGAAGGCCUUCGGGUUGUAAAGCCCUUUUGUUGGGAAAGAAAAGCAGCAGGUUAAUACCCCGCUGUUCUGACGGUACCCAAGGAAUAAGCACCGGCUAACUUCGUG